GUACACACGCGCACACGCCCACUUGCAGCACCAUGAACCUGCUGCACUUGGUGCAGACGUCGUACGAGCCGGGUGCGUACAUCAUGGACGGCUGUCUGUGCAACGGCAGCUCCUCCUUGGCGCUGUCCCUCUCCACCCAGGCCAUCCGCCUCUACGACACGCAGGCGGCUACAUUUCUGGGAGAUAUCAAGGAGCACACGCAGCCAAUCCAAGACCUUGUGGCCACUCCUGCUCAGCCUAGCAUGCUUUACUCUUGCCAGCGCGACUGCGGGGUCAUGGUCACGGACCUGCGCCAGGCACGAGCUGUACACUUUUUGUGUGACAUGUGCAGUAGCGGUGCGGUCUCCAGUAGCAUUGGGGUCACGCCAUCCGCGCCGCUUCUCGCCAUCGCGGCGGACCGCGACAUCCACCUGGUCGACACGCGGACCUGGUGCUCCGUGAAGUGCCUAGAUCAGCUGCACGUAGAUGAGGUCUCACGGCUGCGCUUUCUCGACGACAAAAUUCUCUGCUCCGCUGGCGAGGAUCAGAUGAUCAACUUCCUUUCAGUGGAGGAGGGGGUGAUAGACGAUGAUGUGCUUCUGCAGGCGGUGAACUGCGGCGAGGUGGUCACUAAAAUGAGCUGCUUUCCCGAGCUUGGCGUUAUGACGAUGGUGGGAAGUUGCGAGAACGGCUAUGUCUUUCCCCACGACCUGGAACAGCGGGAGACGCGUCAUGGGCGGCCGAGCUUCGAGAUGUACCUGGUCGACUGGUGCGUGGUGUCCGGCCAGCUGCAUCUCGUCUCCGGCGUGCGAGACAACAGCGGCGACGCUGGCCCACUGCAGGUGCUGAACUGGGCGACUGGGCAGACGCAGGUCCUGCCCAAGGUGCACAAGGAGCUCGGUCGUGUCGCCAUCGGCUUCGGCAACCGCCUCAUCACCGGUGGUGAGGACGGCAUGUUGGCGUACUGGAAGCACGGCGACUUGCUGCCGUCCGAGAUCGCCACGUCCGUCGGGUACAGCGCACAUCGCACGGGAUGCGGGAAGGUCUUCGCGAGCAGCCGAACGCACGAAGGUCAGGACAGCGGUGGGUGCGGUGGCGGACGCGUUGGCGGUCGAGGUAGCGGCGGCCCUCACCGAGGUGGUGGCGGCCGGCCCUACUGAGGUGCAGUGGCGCAGCGUGACACCCCUGCGUCCAUCGAAGCGCUCCACACUCUGUGAGCGCGGAGCUGCCUACAGGAACACAGUCGGAGCUGCUUGUCGCGUGACGUGCGUCUAACACGCGAAGCUACUAAAGCGCACACAAGCAAACGAAAGAGGAAAAAAAAACAAGAUAUUAGGAUGACACACACACACACACACACACACACACACACACACACACAGAGGCACGGCGUGUGACGUGACCGCAGCGUGCCUUUGUUGGUGUAGCCGUGCUUGUGCGCGGGUGGUCACCAUAUGCGUGGUGCACUCAGCAUCGAGGGAAGUGAACUCUUCGUUUCUUUCAGCUCCUGUUGCAUGCCGUGGACAUAGUCCGCUGCGCGGAAGUGCCUCGCGCCUUUUCCAACGCUGCCCAGUACACUCCUCGCGUCUCCUGU
rnacentral:misc_RNA from 1 species